rnacentral:rRNA from 1 species
UACAGAGGAGCCAAGCGUUGUCCGGAUUGACUGGGCGUAAAGGGCUCGUAGGCGGAUCGUUAAGUGCCUUGUGAAAUCCCACAGCUUAACUGUGGAACUGCUUGGCAUACUGGCGGUCUUGAGCCAUCUAGGGGUUGCUGGAACAAACGGUGGAGCGGUGAAAUGCGUAGAUAUCGUUUGGAACGCCCAUGGUGAAAACAGGCAACUGGGGAUGUGCUGACGCUGAGACACGAAAGCCAGGGGAGCAAACGGG